UUUCUAUUAGAAUCAUACUACUUUAAACCUGAAUUCACAGAUUGCACGCGGCCUUAUUCUUUAAUUAUGCAUGAAUUUGUAUGAAUGCAAUUUAGUCAACAAACCACAGCUAAGGCAACUAAGGUUUUUCAUGGAAAAAAGAUUUCAAUCACCCAUAUAAAUCCAUAGUUUGCCUCCUCCUAAUUAUUUAGGUAAGCUCAAACUGCCUUUGAUCACAUAUGCAGCUAAAGGUGUGACUUAAAUGCAAAUCUUGAUUUACAAGCCACAAGUAAGCAAACCACAGCCUGUUACACAGCUGCGUAAAUAUGUUCGCCCGCUUUGGUGUCUUCUAGAUUACUUGACGGAUGCAAGAGACUUUUGAAGUCCUACACAAACAUUCAUCGGAACCCAAAUUACGUUAGUAUCAGAGAAAAAGAUCAGCCGGGACAGACAGGUUUCACCCUGGUACGACUUCUGUCCUUCAAAGAGCUGCGUGAACAGGAGGGCAAAGCUCUACCGAGCGCAUUUCAGCUCAAACAACCCCCAGCAGUCUAAGCCGGCCCCAAAAGUAGCAGCUCUGCAACCGCCUUGAAGGCGCAGGAGAUCCGUCGGGAGGGCGGGAAAGGCCAGGAGCGGCCCCAAAGGAUCGACAAGGGGCAAAUGUCUGGCGUAGCGAGGCGCUGGCGGUGUCUUUAAGGCGCUGUCCCCGCCCCGUUUUCAGACUGUUGGACACCCCGCCUUCCUUCUGUCGAACCGGCGGCGGCGGAGCAAGCAGUACCGUGAGAGGCUACGAGCUGCAGGUGUAGGCAGGCGAGCGCUCCCGCACGGCGGUGGCGGCGGCGGCGGCGGCGUGGCCGGAGGAGGUCAUCUUCGUCGGCAGCCAUACCGCUAGCUCCGGCGGCGCUCCCCAAAGCACCGAUCGCUCGCUCGCCCGCCCGGAGGAAGGGAUCUGCUGCCCACGAGGCUGAGCUGGAACAUGUCGGUGGUUACCGGAGGUAGCGAACCGGGCCCCGCCGCCACCGCCGCCGCCACCGGGGGAGGCACCGGCGGAGGGACCCGGGUUUUCUUUCAGAGCCCGCGCGGAGGCGCCUCCCGGGAAGAUUCGGUCGCCCCCGCCGUGGUCCAAGUCCAGCAGCAGCGGCGCCACCAGCAGGGCAAAGUGACGGUCAAGUACGAUCGGAAAGAGCUGCGGAAAAGGCUAGUGCUGGAAGAGUGGAUCGUGGAGCAGCUCGGGCAGCUGUACGGCUGCGAGGAAGAAGAGAUGCCAGAUGUAGAAAUUGAUAUUGACGAUCUUCUGGAUGCUGCUAAUGAAGAGGAGAGAGCCCUCAAACUACAAGAAGCGCUUGUAGAUUGCUACAAACCUACAGAGCACUCUCUGAACGGCUUACAGAGUUGGCAUAUUGGCCCCAACAAUCUGGGUCCUCCUUUUACUGACCUUGGAAGGAUGGAAGGCUGAGUCAACCUUGAGCUGGUCAGGAUCGAACUGCUGGCAGUGGAAUGCAGAGUUAGCCUGCAGUACUGCAUUCUAACCACUGCACCACCACAGCUCUCUGCUACCCGCAAUCUUCCCUGCCUGGUGCUGUCUAUAUGGUGAAUGCUAAGGAUUUUAUCAAAGAACUUCUAACUCGGAUAAGAGGGAUGAGGAAACUGAGCCCUCCUCAAAAGAAGAGUAUAUAAGUGAACAUGGAGCCCUCUUGAGAGAAGUGAUCAAUAAACUGGAACUAUUAAAUAAGGCACCUGCUAGUUUGGUCGUUAUGAGCAAUUUUUCUCUUUUUUGGUUGAAUUCUGACAUUUUAAAGAAUUCAACCCCUUCUGUUUAAGGCAGUUUUUUCAAGUGUGAUUUUAUUUUAUCACAGAUAGCAACGUUACGGAUGCUGCUUUUACUACCUGCGGAUGAUCAAGAUAGAUGGGAAAACAUCAAUUUUAGAGGGACUUUCCUAGGCAGUAAUUCUGCCUGAUGUAAAACUACUAGGGAAAUGCUGUUCCUUUACAACCAGUUGGAUCAUUAAGUUGUACACCAGACUCAUGGAUGUUAAGGUUCUUGUGCUUGUGUACAUAAAUUAUCAAGUGAGUGUUACUAUUGAUUCACAUCGGUGGAAACGAAAUGUGCUCUUAAGUAACAAUAUAAACUGAAGUUAUAACCAAUGUGGUGUUGCGGGCAUGGGGGGUGAGGGGAGGGAUGCAGUUUGUUCAAUGGGGAUGCUGCCACUGUUAAAGCAUUGCAACAAAUGCCUCUAUUCACAAAGCAACACAUAAGCAAACUGGGGUCCAAGGGCUUGAUUUUUUUAGGUACUAUUACCAACUUUGAGGCUCAGCCAGAUAUAAUCUCUCUUCAUUUUAUGAUCUGUUAGGGUUGAUCAACCUAUUGCUAAAGGGUCUGAUAAGCCAGCAGGAAAAAGGUCAAUACCAUUAUGGGAAAGUCUUGGAGAGAGUAUCUCCAUAGACAUCUUGGAGAGAGGGGAAAUGGAAGUCAACCCACCCCUUCUUAUAAUAAGAAUAUCCAGCCAUCGCUUCCUAUUUUGACCAACUUGGUAGGUUGGCUGGCUGGUUGGCGAAGUGAUCUAGGUUGCAGAGGUGAAAGCUCGUUCCCCAAACUCUUCAGGAAAACAUUCUUUGUUCUAAUGCAGUGUUUCUCAACUUUAGCAACCUAAUAGCAUGCUGGCUGAGGAAUAUUGGGAGUUGGAGUCCACACAUUUUAAAGUUUCCAAGGUUGAGAAGCACUGCUGUAAUAUUUCACAAGCUACCAUCUGCUGGUAGAUGCUAGUCUGGCAUUUUAUAUCAAGGGUGCUCUGAACAUAAUUUUAUUUUUUAAAAAGAAGAAAUACAUGUUUGUGGACUUUAUGUAUACCGGCAAGCUUUUUUAAAUGUAUUUAAUUUUGUAAUGUUUUAUUAAUGACUUUAUUUACCAGAUAUUUACUCAAAUAAAUGCAACAAAUUGA